rnacentral:rRNA from 1 species
GAUGAACGCUGGCGGCGUGCCUAAUACAUGCAAGUCGAGCGAACGGACGAGAAGCUUGCUCUUCUGAUGUUAGCGGCGGACGGGUGAGUAACACGUGGAUAACCUACCUAUAAGACUGGGAUAACUUCGGGAAACCGGAGCUAAUACCGGAUAAUAUUUUGAACCGCAUGGUUCAAAAGUGAAAGACGGCCUUGCUGUCACUUAUAGAUGGAUCCGCGCUGCAUUAGCUAGUUGGUAAGGUAACGGCUUACCAAGGCAACGAUGCAUAGCCGACCUGAGAGGGUGAUCGGCCACACUGGAACUGAGACACGGUCCAGACUCCUACGGGAGGCAGCAGUAGGGAAUCUUCCGCAAUGGGCGAAAGCCUGACGGAGCAACGCCGCGUGAGUGAUGAAGGUCUUCGGAUCGUAAAACUCUGUUAUUAGGGAAGAACAUAUGUGUAAGUAACUGUGCACAUCUUGACGGUACCUAAUCAGAAAGCCACGGCUAACUACGUG